UGAUGAACAAGAUAAUUAUUACCCAGCAUGAGUAAUUCAUGCCCUUGCUCAUCUGCUGAAGGAGGUGCAUCUGACCUUUUCACUUGUGAGUUGGAAGUAUAUGCCAGGUGAUAGUUGCAUUGGGUGUGUGGCAACCUUAUAAUGGAAGAAUGUACUUGUACCUGCGGCAUCUUACCAGUUGUUUUCAUAGGAUCAUAUUAAGCACUGAAAGCUUCCUUUUUCUGUUCUUGCCAAUUUGUAUCAGAGACACAAUAAAUGUUUCUUAUUUAGA